rnacentral:rRNA from 1 species
CAGUCGCCGCGGUAAAACGAAGGGGGCUAGCGUUGCUCGGAAUCACUGAGCGUAAAGGGUGCGUAGGCGGGUCUUUAAGUCGGGGGUGAAAUCCUGGAGCUCAACUCCAGAACUGCCUUUGAUACUGAAGAUCUUGAGUUCGGGAGAGGUGAGUGGAACUGCGAGUGUAGAGGUGAAAUUCGUAGAUAUUCGCAAGAACACCAGUGGCGAAGGCGGCUCACUGGCCCGAUACUGACGCUGAGGCACGAAAGCGUGGGGAGCAAACAGGAUUAGAUACCCCCGUAGUCCCUGUCUCUUAUAC